AUGCGACAAGAUGUCAUUCAGGAAUUUGGGGCGCUUUAUCAAAGAGUAGGGCCUUAUCUACCGAUCGAGCCCUACUUGGUCGAUGAAGCGCUUUGUUCCUAUCUGGACCAUAUUCACGCAACUGAUUCUUUCACUGUUCUCCAAGCGUCUUAUCAAGAUCUGCGGGAGAAUGAGGGAGGAUCCGUUUUCUUUCAAAAUGCUGUUUCCCACAACCGGGAUCUCCUUGAGGCGGAAAGCUCCGCAAGGAGGUGCCUGGAAGUGGAACAAAGGAUCCGGUGGGAAGAAAUCCCCAAGAGCAAGGCAAGUCUCGAAAGAGCUGAGCACGAGCAUGCUCUCGACUUGUUUAAGUCGGAGGAUCUUAGAAGGGAAUUAGAAAAAAAAGAGCAGGGUAGCUCAGUAAUUCUGAUUCUUUUCUCUUCCAGCCCCCGGCCCCUCUUUGAUAAGGAAAGUUUUCAUUUCUAA
rnacentral:rRNA from 1 species